rnacentral:rRNA from 1 species
UACGUAGGGGCCCAGCGUUGUCCGGAUUUAUUGGGCGUAAAGCGCGCGCAGGCGGCCCGGUGUGCCGCCCGUGAAAUCCCCCGGCUCAACCGGGGGGGGUCGGGCGGGACUGCCGGGCUGGAGGCGGGUAGGGGGAAGCGGAAUUCCCGGUGUAGUGGUGGAAUGCGUAGAGAUCGGGAGGAACACCAGUGGCGAAGGCGGCUUCCUGGACCCGGCCUGACGCUGAGGCGCGAAAGCGUGGGGAGCGAUC